UCCCUGGUGGCUCAGAUGGUAAAGCAUCUGCCUACAACGUGGGAGACCCAGGUUCGAUCCCUGGGUUGGGAA
rnacentral:tRNA from 1 species